rnacentral:pre_miRNA from 1 species
CCUGGUUUCCGUGCCCAAUAUUUAACCAUCCGUCUUAUUUAAAAAAAUUAUAAAAAAAAUAAAAAAGACAAGUCACGCAUAAAAUAUUAAUCAUGUUUUAUCAUCUAAUAACAAUAAAAAUACGAAUUAUAAAAAAAUUCAUAUAAGACGGACAGUCAAAGUUAGACACGUAAACCUAGGGUUUGCCUUUUU